GACGAACGCUGGCGGCGUGCUUAACACAUGCAAGUCGAACGGAAAGGCCCUGCUUUUGUGGGGUGCUCGAGUGGCGAACGGGUGAGUAACACGUGAGUAACCUGCCCUUGACUUUGGGAUAACUUCAGGAAACUGGGGCUAAUACCGGAUAGGAGCUCCUGCUGCAUGGUGGGGGUUGGAAAGUUUCGGCGGUUGGGGAUGGACUCGCGGCUUAUCAGCUUGUUGGUGGGGUAGUGGCUUACCAAGGCUUUGACGGGUAGCCGGCCUGAGAGGGUGACCGGCCACAUUGGGACUGAGAUACGGCCCAGACUCCUACGGGAGGCAGCAGUGGGGAAUCUUGCACAAUGGGCGGAAGCCUGAUGCAGCAACGCCGCGUGCGGGAUGACGGCCUUCGGGUUGUAAACCGAUUUCGCCUGUGACGAAGCGUGAGUGACGGUAAUGGGUAAAGAAGCACCGGCUAACUACGUG
rnacentral:rRNA from 1 species